GACGAACGCUGGCGGCGUGCUUAACACAUGCAAGUCGAACGGAAAGGCCCUGCUUUUGUGGGGUGCUCGAGUGGCGAACGGGUGAGUAACACGUGAGUAACCUGCCCUUGACUUUGGGAUAACUUCAGGAAACUGGGGCUAAUACCGGAUAGGAGCUCCUGCUGCAUGGUGGGGGUUGGAAAGUUUCGGCGGUUGGGGAUGGACUCGCGGCUUAUCAGCUUGUUGGUGGGGUAGUGGCUUACCAAGGCUUUGACGGGUAGCCGGCCUGAGAGGGUGACCGGCCACGUUGGGACUGAGAUACGGCCCAGACUCCUACGGGAGGCAGCAGUGGGGAAUAUUGCACAAUGGGCGGAAGCCUGAUGCAGCAACGCCGCGUGCGGGAUGACGGCCUUCGGGUUGUAAACCGCUUUCGCCGGUGACGAAGCGUGAGUGACGGUAAUGGGUAAAGAAGCGCCGGCUAACUACGUG
rnacentral:rRNA from 1 species